UGCGAGGGUAGUAUAGUGGUAGUACUCUACCUUGCCAAGGUAGGAGCUCGGGUUCAAAUCCCGGCCCCCGCAU
rnacentral:tRNA from 1 species